rnacentral:rRNA from 1 species
GACGAACCGUGCGAACGUUAUUCGGAAUCACUGGGCUUAAAGCGCGUGUAGGCGGUUCAGCACGUCCUUCGCUGAAAGCCCCCGGCUCAACCGGGGAAUUGGCGUGGAUACGACUGGGCUGGAGGGGGGUAGGGGGAUCGGGAACUUCCGGUGGAGCGGUGAAAUGCGUUGAGAUCGGAAGGAACGCCCGUGGCGAAAGCGCGGUCCUGGACCCUUCCUGACGCUGAAAUGCGAAAGCCAGGGGAGCGAACGGGAUUAGAUACCCCGGUAGUCCUGGCUGUAAACGAUGGGCACUGGGUAGAGGGCUCGCCGAUGGGCUCUCUGCCGCAGCGAAAGCGUGAAGUGCCCCGCCUGGGGAGUAUGGUCGCAAGGCUGAA